rnacentral:rRNA from 1 species
CCUACGGGUGACAGCAGUAGGGAAUAUUGCACAAUGGGGGAAACCCUGAAGCAGCAACGCCGCGUGGAGGAUGAAGGUUUUAGGAUUGUAAACUCCUUUUGUGAGAGAAGAAAAUGACGGUAUCCCACGAAUAAGCACCGGCUAACUCCGUGCCAGCAGCCGCGGUAAUACGGAGGGUGCAAGCGUUACUCGGAAUCACUGGGCGUAAAGAGUGCGUAGGCGGGAUUGUAAGUCAGCUGUGAAAUCCUGUGGCUUAACUACAGAACUGCAUUUGAAAAUGUGUGUCUAGAGUGUGGGAGAGGUAGGUGGAAUUCUUGGUGUAGCGGUGAAAUCCGUAGAUAUCAAGAGGAAUACUCAUGGCGAAGGCGACCUACUGGAACUUUACUGACGCUCAUGCACGAAAGCGUGGGGAGCAAACAGGAUUAGAUACCCGAGUAGUC